UUGUCCCCAUAACUUCCAACCCUUGAUCUUAGUUCCAUAUUCUGGAGCUACACAGAUUAAACCAAAUCCAUGUCCCACACAGCAACCGUCAGCCACCUUCAAGAGGAGCUCUGGUGUUCCUACUUCCCCAGCUCUUCUCUUUCUCCAGCAAACUAUGCUCGGCUCCUUCACCUGUGUGGCAUGUGAUACAGUUUCUGGGGCCUUCUCUGCCCUGGUCAUGCCCUCUUGCUGCCUGAUGAGAAUGAAGACUCCAGAACCAAGCCCAGCCUCCCAGCUGCCAUAAGUAUAGGAUGUACAUAGCCUCCCUGGAUCUGGAGGACGUACAUUCAUUAAUGCGACCUGGGAUUGCAAAAGCACCUGAACUUUGAGGCAAUCAAAGCUGCUUAUAAGACAAGUUCCAACCUUAUUUUUUACCACUGUAGGAGAGUGGUUUUUUUACACUUUUGGAGGAUCACAAACCCACACCGAGAAUCCGAUGAAAGCUUUAGAUCCUCUGUCCUGAAAAAAAGGCAUAUAAGCACAAAAUUCUUCAUAUAAUUUUUGGGAGUUCUUAGGGAUCCUAAAAUCCAUUUUUAUGUACAUCUCAAGUUUAAAAAAUCAGCAGUAUUCAUAUUGUGGAACUCUGGUUCUGUCAUCUAAAACCAUGUAUUUGUAUUAUCUUCAUACUUUAUAACACUUCCUUAUAAGGGGGAUAAGGAACACCCACUUGAAAAUCCCUACAGGUUACUCUGAAAUCAUUAAUGGAAGAGGAAAGUUACAAGACGUCUUCAAGGGGCAUUGUUGGAUAUGUUGCUAAUGUUACCUCACUUAGUGUUUACAGUCAUCUUCUGAACUAGAGAAUAUCAGCCCUGUCUUAUGAGGAAGGUGAAAUUUUAAACUGAAGAAUAUUAGUAAAGAAAAAUAAAGAGAAUUACAUCCAUCUAGGUGAAGCCAGUCCCAGUAUAGUGUGAUUUUUUUUUUUUUUUUUUUUUUUUUGAACAGCUUCGGCAAUGAACUGUUGGUUGGUGGCCCUCUGUACUUGUAAGCACUAAGGCCGUGUUUGCCUAGAGCACAGCAUUUCAGAUGCUGUGAGCACGUUGGUUUCCUGGGAAAUGUGGUCUAUGUUGGUGCCUUUGCAGUGAUGUCCCUGGAGGGUGGUGGGCAAUGUGGUUGGUCCUCCUCGUGGCCCACCUGGGUGGCUUGGCAUCACCUACACCAUUUUCUUUAGGACCCGACUGGGGCUGGGUUAAGGGGCAGCAGAUUAUUUAUGCCUGAGCAGCACAGACAGCUGCAGAACUGUUCUGAGAUCAUCUGAAAGAGCUCAACCUUUAUAGCAAGUUCCCUCUCAGUUAGGACUUCCUUCCUUGCCAGCCACUGCGAGGCAAGAGCAGUUCUGAAGAGGCCUCCCCUCUUUUCCUGUCUCAUUUCAGAGCCACGCUCACUUCGGAGGAGUUUGGAAGUGAGAAACACAUUCCAUUCACAUGUGGAGAAGCAAAUGAUGGAGAAGCAUAGGCUUUGGAAUUCAAAUCUCAGCUCCCUGGCGGGAGCUGUGUGACCUUCAGCAAUCUGUUUAAUCUCCCUAAGCCCCUGUUUCCUCAUUUGGUUGAGAUAGAAAUUAAAAGAUGUGGAUUUGCCUGGCAUAGAAUGGACCCGUGAUGCAUGUAUGCUAUUUGCUGGUCACCUGGAGGAGGACUUUAAUGGUUCGGGCGCUUUGGGUAACAGUAUAUAUGGUGCGGCAACACCAUCAGGCUUACCCUGGUUUGAACCUGGAUCCCUGAGCCAUCCUAGAGGAGUUCCCAUCCCCUUCCCCACCCCUCAUUACCACCAAAAUUUUGCUUAAGAUAAAGAAGGAGUCAGUGUUUCUACUAUGAAACCAUCCUCCACCCAAGGUGCCAUGUCGCUGGGGCAGGGGGGGAGGGUUCAGAAAUCUCCCCAGUGCUGCUUAGUCCCCAGCCUCACAGGGGUGCUGGAUGUCAUGGAACCUUGGGCUCACACGUACGCACGUGUGCGUGCACGAGCGCGCGCACGCGUGCACACACACACACACCCCUCUGAAUUUAGGGGUUAACAGACCUCAGUUAUACUUCCCGUGGACCUUUCUGAGAGAAUCCUUGGUUCCACAGUUGUAAAAGCAGAACUGGAUACUGGGUAGGGCUGCUGCUGCUUAUCUAAGUCUAUGAGACUCUAAAAGUCAAGUUUAAAUAUAGAGAUGGGGCUAGGCUGACCUCGUCAUUCUGUGAGUCAUUAGAUAAAGACUAGACUUGGUCAUCUCCCUUUGCUAAUAAGGAAACCGGCUUCAUUAACUCAAGGAAAUUAACUUGAAAAAUUUUGCAGCAUGAAUCUGUUUCCAAAGAGGACCUGAGUUUUUCCCUUCCUGGAGCUGAUGCUCGUACGGCAGUCAAUUCAAGAGGCUCUGUUGCCAUGCUGUUGCUGCCAACUGACAAAUGUAGUAUUUCCCUGAUCAAGCACCCAAGCCUUUUUCUCCUUGCUCCUGGAACAACUGAGCACAGAGUAAUAAACUAUCCAGAAUGAUUUUGCAACAUGGGAGUCAUUUGCAUGUCUUUGUAAUAUGGGAGUUGAAUGCCUGCUCUCAGUAAAUAUAAGCCUCCCGAUUGACUUAAGGUAAUUGAAUGAUUUUAGAUUUAGUGUGUAUAUGCUUUUCUCCGCGGCCUCUGAUUCUAAGCAGGCAUAAAAUCACAUCAGAGAAACCUAAGUUUGGAUAUUUGCGUUGGCUCAUCUGAGUUAAAGCGAAAAUAUGUAGAAAUUGGGUUAUCAGUUCCAGGCUCCGAUUACUCUGUGAAACCUCACAUUUCCAGUGGAGCUGAAGGUAGUGUCUUGCUUCAGAUGUUACUCGGGAGCAGUUCUGCAGAGGACAAGGAGAGAAAGAUGCUUUUGACUCUCCUCCAGGCUGUUUUGUUUUCCUUUUUAACUGAUUUUUACACCUUAUAUGAUUUUAUUUCCCAAUUAGUUUUGAAUUUCUCUCAUUUAGCUCCAGAUGUCCCUUGUGGUUGGGUCUCACAGAGUUGCUUAGGCAUUUUGCUGUGUUCUUUCCUUUCUCUGCCCUUCGUUGAAAGGAGGUCUAAGCUCACAGUAUAGCUAUAUUUCUAGAGAGACCUGCCACCUUUACAGGAUUUACUGUGGUCAUUUUCUUUUUCUUUUUUUUUUCCUCCUCUCCCCUCAGUGUGGUUCUUUGUGAAUUAAAAUCAAGGUUCCUGGGGCUGGAGGUAAGAGCAGAACAUGGGGAGCCUGGCCACAUUAUAAUGAAUAAUAAUAAUGAUUGUCUCGCUCUUUUGUGCUCUUCCCAGCCGAUCAUGUCCUAUUGUCUUUGCAUCCCUGGCUUGUUGUGUGGGGCCUGGUGCAUAAAUGAUGCUCAGUGAGGGUGUGUUGAAGGAACAAACUAAUUUUUUGCAAAUCCCUUUACCAUUUACAAAGAUGCUCCACAUACCAACAUGGGGUGAUUGUUUUCAAGACCUCAACAAAACCAUUUCCUCCCUCGUCUCAUUAUGAUUGUGAAAUUGCUUCGGAAUUUUGGAACAGUGAUACUUUUACUGUGUGCCUUUCAUGAAAAGCCAAAGUCUAAUUGCCUUUUUUUGUUGUUGUUAAUACAAGGGGCUGUGGAUGGGAGGGAGACAGGAGGGAAAGUUUCUCGACUGCAUAUGUUUCUUGUCAAGAAAUUUAAAGAUUGAGUUAUCUCUGGAUUUUUCUUUUUUUUUCUUUAUAACUGCAACUUACAGCUCUUUUUCUCCUCUCUUGCUCAGAUGUAGGUGAAUUUUAACAAAAGCAAGAGGUAUAUUUUAAAGGGAAAAAGACAAGUAGGCAGCAAGGGAGAGCCUUUGUUUUUAUGAUUUGUGUUUUGACUUGGCAGACACUCAAGGUUAAUCUGCUCAACCAAAUAAUCCACAUUGCUUCCAUGUCAGCCACAGCCGAGCGACCCUUCCAAGGCACGCCAGCCCCACUCUUCUGUUGAGACAUUUGAAGGAUUUCAACCCUUGUCUUGUGUGCCAGUCAAUGGCUGACUCCCCACCCCUGGGCUCUCAAAACCACUGCAUAUCCGCCUCUGGCAGAAACUCACCCAGGAUUCUUAACCAGGCAGCUCUUGCUUAACUGGCUUCAUUUCUAUACUCUCAUCCCCGUAACGCUGACUUUUCCCCUAAAACUCAAGUGUAAAAGUAGGAAAACCAUUGUAUUACUCUUUUUCCUGAAACCAUUGGCACUUAAAGACCAAAGUCAGCAAAAGAAACCUUAAGAAUUUAAAAAAUUAGAGAAGUCUUUGAUUUUUACAGAUGAUGCAAGAACCAUACUCAGACUUAUAAC
rnacentral:lncRNA from 1 species